CCACACCAUAAAAAACUUUCCACGUGAACCGUAUCAACCCCUUAAAUUUGGGGGCUUGCUCGGCGGCGUGUGUGCUGGCCUGUAAUGGGUCGGCGUGCUGCUGCUGGGCGGGCUCUAUCAUGGGCGAGCGUUUGGGCUUCGGCUCGAGCUAGUAGCUAUCAAUUUUAAACCCUUUCUUAAAUACUGAACAUACUGUGGGGACGAAAGUCUCUGCUUUUAACUAGAUAGCAACUUUCAGCAGUGGAUGUCUAGGCUCGCACAUCGAUGAAGAACGCUGCGAACUGCGAUACGUAAUGCGAAUUGCAGGAUUCAGUGAGUCAUCGAAAUUUUGAACGCAUAUUGCACUUCCGGGUUAGUCCUGGGAGUAUGCCUGUAUCAGUGUCCGUACAUCAACCUUGGUUUUCUUCCUUCCGUGUAGUCGGUGGAGGAUAUGCCAGAUGUGAAGUGUCUUGCUAGCGGUCUUUCGAGUCUGCCGGUGAGUCCUUUUAAAUGUACUGAACUGUACUCUCUCUUUGCGCGAAAAGCGUGGCGUUGCUGGUUGUGGAGGCUGCCCGUGUGGCCAGUCGGCGACCGGUUUGUUAGCUGUGGCGUUUGGAGGAGUGUUCGAUUCGCGGUAUGGUUGGCUUCGGCUAAACAAUCUGCUUAUUGGGUGCUUUUCCUGUCAUGGCGGUAUGAACUGGUGAACCGUAGCUGUGUGGUGCUUGGCUUUUGAACCGGCUUUGCUUUGCGAAGUAGUGUGACGGCUUCGGCUGUCGAGGGGUCGAUCCAUUUUGGGAAACUUUGUGUGUGCGGCUUCGUGCUGCGCGCAUCUCAA
rnacentral:rRNA from 1 species